AAACUUUGGCCUUACGCCAUUACAUUUUCAAACUCAUUUUCUUAAUCAAACCUGUAAAUAAACUUAACUAUACUUGACUUAAAAUUUCAAAUGCCAAAAGGAACUAACUCAUUCAAACCAUUUUUAGGCCUUUGUGCCUUUCAAACUUAAAAUUUUGUUAAAAGCAUUGCUUCCACUUUGAAAUUAAUACCACAAACUACGAGGUUUUGAUCCCUCAGUUUUAUGUUGGUACGUAGGCACAAGUCCGAAGGUCUUGUCAAACACAAAAAUAUAAUUAACAAAUU
rnacentral:lncRNA from 1 species